rnacentral:rRNA from 1 species
AACGAGCGCUGGCGGCAGGCUUAACACAUGCAAGUCGAGCGCCCCGCAAGGGGAGCGGCAGACGGGUGAGUAACGCGUGGGAAUCUACCCAUCUCUACGGAAUAACGCAUGGAAACGUGUGCUAAUACCGUAUACGUCCUUCGGGAGAAAGAUUUAUCGGAGAUGGAUGAGCCCGCUUUGGAUUAGCUAGUUGGUGGGGUAAAGGCCUACCAAGGCGACGAUCCAUAGCUGGUCUGAGAGGAUGAUCAGCCACACUGGGACUGAGACACGGCCCAGACUCCUACGGGAUGCAGCAGUGGGGAAUAUUGGACAAUGGGCGCAAGCCUGAUCCAGCCAUGCCGCGUGAGUGAUGAAGGCACUAGGGUUGUAAAGCUCUUUCACCGGUGAAGAUAAUGACGGUAACCGGAGAAGAAGCCCCGGCUAACUUCGUGCCAGCCGCCGCAGUAAGAC